rnacentral:rRNA from 1 species
ACGGAGGAUCCAAGCGUUAUCCGGAAUUACUGGGCGUAAAGAGUUGCGUAGGUGGCAUAGUAAGCGAGUAGUGAAAGCGUUCGGCUCAACCGAAUAUCCACUACUUGAACUGCUAAGCUAGAAGAUGAGAGAGGUCACUGGAAUUCCCUGUGUAGGAGUGAAAUCCGUAGAUAUAGGGAGGAACACCGAUGGCGUAGGCGGGUGACUGGCUCAUUCUUGACACUAAGGCACGAAAGCGUGGGGAGCAAACGGGA